UACGGAGGGUGCGAGCGUUAUCCGGAAUUACUGGGUUUAAAGGGUGCGUAGGCGGCCCUGUAAGUCAGGGGUGAAAGUUUGCGGCUCAACCGUAAAAUUGCUUUUGAUACUGCGGGGCUAGAAUUAGGAUGAGGUCAGCGGAAUGUGGCAUGUAGCGGUGAAAUGCAUAGAUAUGCCAUAGAACACCAAUUGCGAAGGCAGCUGGCUAGACCUGGAUUGACGCUGAGGCGCGAAAGCGUGGGGAGCGAACAGG
rnacentral:rRNA from 1 species